rnacentral:rRNA from 1 species
UACGUAGGUGGCGAGCGUUGUCCGGAAUUACUGGGCGUAAAGAGCGCGUAGGCGGUUUUUUAAGUCAGAUGUGAAAAUCCAGGGCUUAACUCUGGGCGUGCAUUUGAAACUGGGGAACUAGAGUGCAGGAGAGGUAAGUGGAAUUCCUAGUGUAGCGGUGAAAUGCGUAGAUAUUAGGAGGAACACCAGUGGCGAAGGCGACUUACUGGACUGUAACUGACGCUGAGGCGCGAAAGCGUGGGUAGCGAACAGGAUUAGAUACCCUGGUAGUCCACGCCGUAAACGAUGGAUACUAGGUGUGGGAGGUAUCGACCCCUUCCGUGCCGCAGUAAACGCAAUAAGUAUCCCGCCUGGGGAGUACGGCCGCAAGGUUGAAACUCAAAGGAAUUGACGGGGGCCCGCACAAGCAGCGGAGCAUGUGGUUUAAUUCGAAGCAACGCGAAGAACCUUACCAGGACUUGACAUCCCCUGCAUAACUCGUAACGGAGGAAGUCCUUCGGGACAGGGAGACAGGUGGUGCAUGGUU